rnacentral:rRNA from 1 species
AAACACGAAACCGCGUAUGGCUCAUUAUAACAGCUAAAAUUUACUUGAUUUUGAUAUAAAUCCUACAUGGAUAACUGUGGUAAUUCUGGAGCUAAUACAUGCAUAAAAGGUAUCUUUUUUAUAUGAGAUAUUGCGUAUAUUAGUAUUAAAACCAAGCAUUUUUCGGAAUGUUUUGUGUUGAACCUGAAUAUAUCUGCUAAUCGUAUGGGCUUGUACCGACGAUAUAUCAUUCAAGUGUCUGAUCUAUCAACUUUCUAUAUAAGUAUAUAGUACUUAUAUGGGUUUGACGGAUAACGGAGUAUUAGGGUACGACUCCGGAGAAAAUGCCUGAGAAACGGCGUUUACAUCCAAGGAAGGCAGCAGGCGCGAAAAUUACCCACUCUCAGUUCGAGGAGGUAGUGACGAGAAAUGACACGAUCUAUUCCUUCGGGGAUGGAUCAUUGGAAUGGGUUGAUUCUAAA